rfam:Nicotiana attenuata strain TT chromosome 7, whole genome shotgun sequence.
UAGACAGUUUUUUGUAUUCGACUGUAUUCGCUGUAUUCAUGGCGUGAAACAGGAGAUUACAGCUAUUUUUAAACAGAAAGUGAAUCAAUUAACAUAAUAGACUCCU